rnacentral:rRNA from 1 species
GACGAACGCUGGCGGCGUGCUUAACACAUGCAAGUCGAACGGAAAGGCCCUGCUUUUGUGGGGUGCUCAAGUGGCGAACGGGUGAGUAACACGUGAGUAACCUGCCCUUGACUUUGGGAUAACUUCAGGAAACUGGGGCUAAUACCGGAUAGGAGCUCCUGCUGCAUGGCGGGGGUUGGAAAGUUUCGGCGGUUGGGGAUGGACUCGCGGCUUAUCAGCUUGUUGGUGGGGUAGUGGCUUACCAAGGCUUUGACGGGUAGCCGGCCUGAGAGGGUGACCGGCCACAUUGGGACUGAGAUACGGCCCAGACUCCUACGGGAGGCAGCAGUGGGGAAUAUUGCACAAUGGGCGGAAGCCUGAUGCAGCAACGCCGCGUGCGGGAUGACGGCCUUCGGGUUGUAAACCGCUUUCGCCUGUGACGAAGCGUGAGUGACGGUAAUGGGUAAAGAAGCACCGGCUAACUACGUGCCAGCAGCCGCGGUGAUACGUAGGGUGCGAGCGUUGUCCGGAUUUAUUGGGCGUAAAGGGCUCGUAGGUGGUUGAUCGCGUCGGAAGUGUAAUCUUGGGGCUUAACCCUGAGCGUGCUUUCGAUACGGGUUGACUUGAGGAAGGUAGGGGAGAAUGGAAUUCCUGGUGGAGCGGUGGAAUGCGCAGAUAUCAGGAGGAACACCAGUGGCGAAGGCGGUUCUCUGGGCCUUUCCUGACGCUGAGGAGCGAAAGCGUGGGGAGCGAACAGGCUUAGAUACCCUGGUAGUCCACGCUGUAAACGGUGGGUACUAGGUGUGGGGUCCAUUCCACGGGUUCCGUGCCGUAGCUAACGCUUUAAGUACCCCGCCUGGGGAGUACGGCCGCAAGGCUAAAACUCAAAGGAAUUGACGGGGCCCCGCACAAGCAGCGGAGCAUGCGGAUUAAUUCGAUGCAACGCGUAGAACCUUACCUGGGUUUGACAUGGAUCGGGAGUGCUCAGAGAUGGGUGUGCCUCUUUUGGGGUCGGUUCACAGGUGGUGCAUGCCUGUCGUCAGCUCGUGUCGUGAGAUGUUGGGUUAAGUCCCGCAACGAGCGCAACCCUUGUUCACUGUUGCCAGCACGUUAUGGUGGGGACUCAGUGGAGACCGCCGGGGUCAACUCGGAGGAAGGUGGGGAUGACGUCAAGUCCUCAUGCCCCUUAUGUCCAGGGCUUCACGCAUGCUACAAUGGCUGGUACAGAGAGUGGCGAGCCUGUGAGGGUGAGCGAAUCUCGGAAAGCCGGUCUCAGUUCGGAUUGGGGUCUGCAACUCGACCUCAUGAAGUCGGAGUCGCUAGUAAUCGCAGAUCAGCAACGCUGCGGUGAAUACGUUCCCGGGGCU